GCUGGGCGUGGUGGCUCACGCCUGUAAUCCCAAUGGCUCAGGAAGCUGAGGCAAGGGGAUUGCAAAUUAGCAAGGCCCUAUCCUGUCUCAG
rnacentral:sRNA from 1 species